rnacentral:tRNA from 1 species
GGCUUAAAGAAGUUGUCUGAGUGCAAAUCAGAUAGUGGGCUUUAAAUUGCCCUUGGGCCU